rnacentral:rRNA from 1 species
UGGGGAAUCUUGGACAAUGGGCGAAAGCCUGACCCAGCAACGCCGCGUGAAGGAUGAAGUAUUUCGGUAUGUAAACUUCGAAAGAAUAGGAAGAAUAAAUGACGGUACUAUUUAUAAGGUCCGGCUAACUACGUGCCAGCAGCCGCGGUAAUACGUAGGGACCAAGCGUUGUUCGGAUUUACUGGGCGUAAAGGGCGCGUAGGCGGCAAUUCAAGUCAUCUGUGAAAUCUCCGGGCUUAACUCGGAACGGUCAGAUGAUACUGCUUUGCUAGAGUGCAGAAGGGGCAAUCGGAAUUCUUGGUGUAGCGGUGAAAUGCGUAGAUAUCAAGAGGAACACCUGAGGUGAAGACGGGUUGCUGGGCUGACACUGACGCUGAGGCGCGAAAGCCAGGGGGAGCAAACGGGAUUAGAUACCCACGUAGUCCCUGAGCGGGCUGGCAAGGCGCAU